UACGUAGGCAGCAAGCGUUGUUCGGAAUUACUGGGCGUAAAGAGUGUGUAGGCGGUUUUCUAAGUUUGGUGUGAAAUCUCCCGGCUUAACUGGGAGGGUGCGCCGAAAACUGGAAGGCUUGAGUGCCGGAGAGGAUAGCGGAAUUCCCGGUGUAGCGGUGAAAUGCGUGAGAUAUCGGGGAGGAACACCUGUGGUGUAGACGGCUAGUCUGGACGGCGACUGACGCUGAGACACGAAAAGCGUGGGUAGCAAACAGG
rnacentral:rRNA from 1 species